GAUGAACGCUGGCGGCGUGCCUAAUACAUGCAAGUCGAACGAAACUUCUUUAUCAUCGAGUGCUUGCACUUACCGAUAAAGAGGUGAGUGGCGAACGGGUGAGUAACCUGUGGGCAACCUGUCACAACGAGGGGGAUAACACUUGGAAACAGGUGCUAAUACCGCAUAACCAUCGUUACUGCAUGGCAACUUUGUAAAAGGUGGCUAUACUACCGCUUUUGGAUGGGCUCGCGGCGCAUUAGCUAGUUGGUAGGGUAAAGGCUUACCAAGGCAAUGAUGCGUAGCCGAAUUGAGAGGUUGAUCGGCCACAUUGGGACUGAGACACGGCCCAAACUCCUACGGGAGGCAGCAGUAGGGAAUCUUCCGCAAUGGGCGAAAGCCUGAUGGAGCAACGCCGCGUGAGUGAAGAAGGUCUUCGGAUCGUAAAACCCUGUUGUUAGAGAAGAAAGUGCGUGAGAGUAACUGUUCACGUUUCGACGGUAUCUAACCAGAAAGCCACGGCUAACUACGUG
rnacentral:rRNA from 1 species